UGGCAAACGGGUGCGUAACGCGUAAGCAACCUGCCCCAAACCGGGGGAUAGCCUGGCGAAAGCGGGGGUAACCCCCCAUGGUUCUUUGGUAGCACCUGCUACUACAGAUAAACAUUUAUGGGUUUGGGAGGGGCUUGCGUCUGAUUAGCUUGUUGGCGGGGUAGUGGCCCACCAAGGCCGUGAUCAGUAGGGGUUCUGAGAGGAUUGGCCCCCACAUGGGUACUGAGAUACGGACCCAACUCCUACGGGAGGCAGCAGUAGGGAAUAUUGGGCAAUGGGCGCAAGCCUGACCCAGCCAUGCCGCGUGAAGGAUGAAGGCGCUCAGCGUCGUAAACUUCUUUUAUCGGUGAAGAAUGGUAGUCCUGCGGGAUUAUUUGACGGUAGCCGAGGAAUAAGCACCGGCUAACUCCGUGCCAGCAGCCGCGGUAAUACGGAGGGUGCAAGCGUUGUCCGGAUUUAUUGGGUUUAAAGGGUGCGUAGGUGGGUGUUUAAGUCUGGUUUGAAAGCAGGUGGCUCAACCAUCUGAUGUGGCUGGAAAC
rnacentral:rRNA from 1 species